UACUUCCUACGGGACGCAGCAGUGAGGAAUAUUGGUCAAUGGACGAGAGUCUGAACCAGCCAAGUAGCGUGAAGGAUGACUGCCCUAUGGGUUGUAAACUUCUUUUAUAUGGGAAUAAAAUGUUCCACGUGUGGGAUUUUGUAUGUACCAUAUGAAUAAGGAUCGGCUAACUCCGUGCCAGCAGCCGCGGUAAUACGGAGGGUCCGAGCGUUAUCCGGAUUUAUUGGGUUUAAAUGGAGCGUAGGUGGAUUGUUAAGUCAGUUGUGAAAGUUUGCGGCUCAACAGUGAAAUUGCAGUUGAAACUG
rnacentral:rRNA from 1 species